rnacentral:rRNA from 1 species
UACGUAGGUGGCAAGCGUUGUCCGGAAUUAUUGGGCGUAAAGCGCGCGCAGGCGGUCCCUUAAGUCUGAUGUGAAAGCCCACGGCUCAACCGUGGAGGGUCAUUGGAAACUGGGAGACUUGAGUACAGAAGAGGAAAGCGGAAUUCCACGUGUAGCGGUGAAAUGCGUAGAGAUGUGGAGGAACACCAGUGGCGAAGGCGGCUUUCUGGUCUGUAACUGACGCUGAGGCGCGAAAGCGUGGGGAGCAAACAGG